rnacentral:rRNA from 1 species
CCUACGGGUGGCUGCAGUGGGGAAUAUUGCACAAUGGGGGAAACCCUGAUGCAGCGACGCCGCGUGAGUGAAGAAGUAUUUCGGUACGUAAAGCUCUAUCAGCAGGGAAGAAAAUGACGGUACCUGACUAAGAAGCCCCGGCCAACUACGUGCCAGCAGCCGCGGUAAUACGUAGGGGGCAAGCGUUAUCCGGAUUUACUGGGAGUAACGGGAGCGUAGACGGCAGCGCAAGUCUGGAGUGAAAUCCCAUGGCUUAACCAUGGAGUCGCUUUGGAAACUGUGCAGCGUGAGUGCAGGAGAGGUAAGCGGAAUUCCAAGUGUAGCGGUGAAAUGCGUAGAGAUUAGGAGGAACACCAGUGGCGAAGGCGACUUACUGGACUGUAACUGACGUUGAGGCGCGAAAGCGUGGGGAGCAAACAGGAUUAGAUACCCGAGUAGUC